UCUUGCUCUUUUAUUAACUUC
rnacentral:piRNA from 1 species